UACGAAGGGGGCUAGCGUUGCUCGGAAUCACUGGGCGUAAAGGGUGCGUAGGCGGGUCUUUAAGUCAGGGGUGAAAUCCUGGAGCUCAACUCCAGAACUGCCUUUGAUACUGGAGAGCUUGAGUCCGGGAGAGGUGAGUGGAACUCCGAGUGUAGAGGUGAAAUUCGUAGAUAUUCGCAAGAACACCAGUGGCGAAGGCGGCUCACUGGCCCGGUACUGACGCUGAGGUGCGAAAGCGUGGGGGAGCAAACAGG
rnacentral:rRNA from 1 species